rnacentral:rRNA from 1 species
CGCCUCUUGCACCCAUAAGAGGUCUAGCCUGCCCAGUGACCCUGUUCAACGGCCGCGGUAUACUAACCGUGCAAAGGUAGCAUAAUCACUUGUCUCUUAAAUCGGGACCUGUAUGAAUGGCAUCACGAGGAUUUAACUGUCUCCUUCUACCAAUCAGUGAAACUAAUCCCCCCGUGAAAAAGCAGGGAUACACAUACAAGACGACAAGACCCUAUGGAGCUUGAAAUUAGUAACACUUGCUUCAUCUUUCCACCUCCCGAACAAUAACCACCUAGCAUUAUGCUUACACAUUUUUGGUUGGGGUGACCCUGGAGAAAAACUCAACCUCCAUGCUGUUUAUUUAAGAACCUCAAUUCUAUAAAUCAAAAAAUUGACAUAAUUGACCCAAACACUUGAUCAACGAACCAAGUUACCCUAGGGAUAACAGCGCCAUCCACUUCAAGAGUACAUAUCAACAAGUGGGCUUACGACCUCGAUGUUGGAUCAGGAUCCCCCAGUGGUGUAGCCGCUACUAAAGGUUUGUUUGUUCAACAAUUAAAAUCC